UUUUGACUAAUGCGGACGAGGAGGGACAUUGCUGGACGCGCCUCGGCGCACCCAGUAAACCCUUUGUGAACUUAUACCUUACCGUUGCCUCGGCGCAGGCCGGCCCCCCUCGGGGGGCCCCUCGUUCCUGACGAGGAGCAGGCUCGCCGGCGGCCAAGUUAACUCUUGUUUUUAUUGUGAAACUCUGAGAAUAAAACAUAAAUGAAUCAAAACUUUCAACAACGGAUCUCUUGGUUCUGGCAUCGAUGAAGAACGCAGCGAAAUGCGAUAAGUAAUGUGAAUUGCAGAAUUCAGUGAAUCAUCGAAUCUUUGAACGCACAUUGCGCCCUCUGGUAUUCCGGAGGGCAUGCCUGUUCGAGCGUCAUUUCAACCCUCAAGCCUGGCUUGGUGAUGGGGCACUGCCUUUGUGUAAAAACGAGGGCAGGCCCUGAAAUUCAGUGGCGAGCUCGCCAGGACUCCGAGCGCAGUAGUUAAACCCUCGCUUUGGAAGGACUGGCGGUGCCCUGCCGUUAAACCCCCAACUUUUGAAAAUUUGACCUCGGAUCAGGUAGGAAUACCCGCUGAACUUAAGCAUAUCAAUAAGUCCGAAGGAA
rnacentral:rRNA from 1 species